UUGCAGGCUGCAACUCGCCUGCAUGAAGUCGGAAUUGCUGUAAUCGCAGAUCAGCAUGCUGCGGUGAAUACGUUCCCGGGCCUUGUACACACCGCCCGUCACACCAUGGGAGUCGGUAACACCCGAAGUCGGUAGCCUAACCGUAAGGAGGGCGCCGCCGAAGGUGGGAUUGAUGACUGGGGUGAAGUCGUAACAAGGUAAC
rnacentral:rRNA from 1 species